rnacentral:rRNA from 1 species
GAGUAACACGUGAGAAUUUGCCUUUAGGAGGGGGAUAACAGAGUGAAAACGCUGCUAAUACCCCAUAUGCUUUCGAGUGAAAUGGAUUUAUUCGCCUAAAGAGAAGCUCGCGGCUGAUUAGCUUGUUGGUAAGGUAAUGGCUUACCAAGGCGACGAUCAGUAUCUGGUUUGAGAGGACGAUCAGACACACUGGAACUGAGACACGGUCCAGACUCCUACGGGAGGCAGCAGUGGGGAAUUUUCCGCAAUGGGCGAAAGCCUGACGGAGCAAUACCGCGUGAGGGAAGACGGCCUAUGGGUUGUAAACCUCUUUUCUCAGGGAGGAACUCAAUGACG